rnacentral:rRNA from 1 species
GUGGGCGUUAGGUGUGGGGACCGGUUUGGUUUCUGUGCCGUAGCUAACGCAUUAAGCGCCCCGCCUGGGGAGUACGGCCGCAAGGCUAAAACUCAAAGGAAUUGACGGGGGCCCGCACAAGCGGCGGAGCAUGUGGAUUAAUUCGAUGCAACGCGAAGAACCUUACCUGGGUUUGACAUGCACCAGACGGUUGUAGAGAUACGUACCUCCCUUUGUGGUUGGCGUGCAGGUGGUGCAUGGCUGUCGUCAG